CCUACGGGCGGCAGCAGUCGGGAAUCUUGCGCAAUGGGCGAAAGCCUGACGCAGCGACGCCGCGUGGGGGAGGAAGCCCUUCGGGGUGUAAACCCCUGUCGUCCGGGACGAAGGUGAGGGGCUGAAAGGCCUCUUGCUGACGGUACCGGAGGAGGAAGCCCCGGCUAACUACGUGCCAGCAGCCGCGGUAAGACGUAGGGGGCGAGCGGUGUCCGGAAUCACUGGGCGGAAAGGGCGCGUAGGCGGCCUGGCAAGUCGGAUGUGAAAGGUCCCGGCUCAACCGGGGAGGUGCAUUCGAAACUGCCGGGCUUGAGGGCAGGAGAGGGCAGCGGAAUUCCCGGUGGAGCGGUGAAAUGCGUAGAGAUCGGGAGGAACACCAGUGGCGAAGGCGGCUGCCUGGCCUGGCCCUGACGCUGAGGCGCGACAGCGUGGGGAGCGAACGGGAUUAGAUACCCCAGUAGUC
rnacentral:rRNA from 1 species